AGAGUUUUGUGUUUUUUUUUCUCCCCAAUUUCCUCUUUGUCCUUAACAGUGUCUCGGUGUUUGCAUAUAACAGAGUCUCACUGUUUCCAGUCUUUUCCCUUCAGGCUCCUUACUCAUCCUUUCCUUUUGAUAUCUUUUUCCUAAAGUUCUGUUCGUUCACCUUUCUAUUAACCCUUCCCCGCUCACCUCUUUAAUUUACCUUCUCUCUCACUCUUGUUUCAGCCAUUUUUGCUUCCUUCACCUCAUGCAUCUCUGUGUUCUUAUUCCAAUGACUGACUAAGUUUACUCUAUAAAUCCCUCAUUUUUCCCCCUCCUUCCUCUCUUUCAU